CCUACGGGUGGCAGCAGUGGGGAAUAUUGGUCAAUGGCCGUAAGGCUGACGCAGCCAAGUAGCGUGAGGGAAGACUGCCCUAUGGUUUUUAAACCUCUUUUAUGCGGGGAUAAGGUUGUCCAGGUAUUGAUCUUUGCAUUUACCGCAUGAGUAACGACCGGCUAGUUCCGUGCCGGCCGCCGCGCUACUACGGAGGGUACGGUCGUUGUCUGGAUUUAUUGUGUUUAAAGGGAGCGUAGGCCGGUCGUUAAGCGUACCGUGAAAUUUUGUGGCUCAACGUAGAGAGUGCGGAGCGAACUGGAGAACUGGAGUGCGUGGAAGGCAGGCGGAAUUCGUGGUGUAGGAGUGAAAUGCGUAGAUAUCAGGAAGAACAUCGAGUGCGAAGGCAGCCUGCUGCAGCGUUACUGACGCUGAAGCGCGAAAGCGUGGGUAGCGAACAGGAUUAGAUACCCGAGUAGUC
rnacentral:rRNA from 1 species